rnacentral:lncRNA from 1 species
CCUACUACAACCUUACCUGUGACAACAUUCCUUACCUAAUACAUGACCAUACUAUGCUAGACUUUUCAAUCACACAAACACCAUAACUUAAACUUGAAUUAGGUACAACAAAAAUACAAGACAUUUGACAAAAAAAGUGUCAAUCCAAUAUCAAUACUCCUCCUUGACACUUUUGCUGGAAACACCAAGGCAUUUCCUUAAUGUUUCAAACCUUCAUUUAGACAAAUAUUUUGUUAUAAUAUCAGCAUAUCAAUCCUCAGAAUUGCAAUGCACAAGCUUCACUUCCUAUCUUCUUGAGCUUCCCUGAUUGAAUGGUAGUUGAUCUUGAUGUGUUUUGUUCUUCCAUGAAACAUCAAUCUUUACCAUUGCCACAGCAAAGUGGUUAUCACAAUAGAUAACAGUUGCAUCAGCUUGGUUGUGCUUAAGAUCCUCCAAACUUUUCUCAACCAAAUUUCUUGAUUAGUGGCUUCUGAUGGAGCAAUAUACUCUACCUAUGUUUGAUUAAGCCAUCAUUUUCUGCUUCAUUGAGUUCCAAUACACAACACUUGAGCCAAAAUAAAACACAUAACCAGAGGUGCUUUUCAUGUCUUCAAGAGAUCCAGCCUAAUCACUAUCAAUAAAACCAGUUAAAACUAGAGUUUCUGACUUCCUAAACUAGAUUCCCAGCUCCUCAUUCACUCUUAUGUAUCUAAGAAUUCUUUUUGCAGCUUGAAAGUGUAAUUUACUUGGCUCUUGUCUGAAUCUGGACAGAAUAUUUGCAGCAAAUGUAAUAUCUAGUCUUGUGAUUGUUAGAUACAACAAGCAUCCCACCAAACUUCUAUAGAUCUUUUCAUCAGAUUUAUUACCACCAUCUUCCUUUAUCAGUUUUGAGUUUUGUACCAAGGAAAUACUUACUGGUUUGCAAUUCUCCAUAUUGAUUUUUUUCAAGACUUCCUUAGCAUACCUCCUUUGGUAUACCAAAAUUCCUUCUUGUGAUUGAUUUAUCUCUUUUCCUAGAAAAUAUUGCAUUUUCCCAAAAUCAGUUAUGUCAAAUGCCUUUUUCAAUUCUUCUUUCACACUUCCAAUUAAUGCCUGAUUGCUGUCAAUUAUAAAAAGGUCAUCAACAUACAAGGAGAUGAUGAUCAUUUAUUCCUCCACUUGCUUUAUAUAAAGUGUUUGUUCAUUAACACUUUUGAUGAAACCAAGGCUGCCCAAGUGAUCAUCAAUCAUGUUGUAACAAGCUCUUGGAGCCUGCUUCAAACCAUACAAAGCCUUCUUCAACAAAUAGACUUUGUCUUCUUCUCCAGCCACAAAGAAACCUUCUGGUUGUUCAAUGAAAUUUUUUUCAUUUAAGUGUCUAUUUAGGAAGGCCGAUUUAACAUCCAAUUGAUGUAAUUUCCAACCUCAUUGAGCAGUUAUAGCAAACAAUAAUAUGAUUGUUUCAUACCGGCCACUGGAGCAAAUGUAUCUGUGAAAUCAAUACCAUAUUGCUGAGCAUAACCUUUUACAACCUACUGGCUUUGAGUUUUUUGAUUGAACCAUCAAAAUUCAGUUUGGUUUUGUACACGCAUAUAACUCCAAUCACAUUCUUAUCCUUUGGUCUAUCAACCAACACCUAGGUUUCAUUCUUUUCAAUCAUACUUAGCUCCUUCUUCAUUGUAGCCAACCAACCUUGUGAAUUUACUGCUCCAUUGAAGUUUGAAGGCU